GAUGAACGCUGGCGGCGUGCCUAAUACAUGCAAGUCGAGCGAACAGACGAGGAGCUUACUCCUUCGACGUUAGCGGCGGACGGGUGAGUAACACGUAGGUAACCUACCUAUAAGACUGGGAUAACUUCGGGAAACCGGAGCUAAUACCGGAUAAUAUUUCGAACCGCAUGGUUCGAUAGUGAAAGAUGGCUUUGCUAUCACUUAUAGAUGGACCUGCGCCGUAUUAGCUAGUUGGUAAGGUAACGGCUUACCAAGGCAACGAUACGUAGCCGACCUGAGAGGGUGAUCGGCCACACUGGAACUGAGACACGGUCCAGACUCCUACGGGAGGCAGCAGUAGGGAAUCUUCCGCAAUGGGCGAAAGCCUGACGGAGCAACGCCGCGUGAGUGAUGAAGGUCUUCGGAUCGUAAAACUCUGUUAUUAGGGAAGAACAAACGUGUAAGUAACUGUGCACGUCUUGACGGUACCUAAUCAGAAAGCCACGGCUAACUACGUG
rnacentral:rRNA from 1 species